CAGCCGCCGCGGUAACACGUAGGGCGCAAGCGUUAUCCGGAAUUAUUGGGCGUAAAGAGCUCGUAGGCGGUUUGUCGCGUCUGCCGUGAAAGUCCGGGGCUCAACCCCGGAUCUGCGGUGGGUACGGGCAGACUAGAGUGAUGUAGGGGAGACUGGAAUUCCUGGUGUAGCGGUGAAAUGCGCAGAUAUCAGGAGGAACACCGAUGGCGAAGGCAGGUCUCUGGGCAUUAACUGACGCUGAGGAGCGAAAGCAUGGGGAGCGAACAGGAUUAGAGACCCCUGUAGUCCCUGUCUCUUAUAA
rnacentral:rRNA from 1 species